rnacentral:lncRNA from 1 species
UGUACUGAUAUAUUUUUUUGUUAAGUUAAUGUACUGAUGUUAUGUAGCGCCAUAUAAAACAUGCUACAAUUGAUUACUUGCACUUAAAAUACUUAACUUAUGAAAAACGAACAAACAUAAGAAUUUAGAAAAUUGUGCAUGCAAAUAAUACUCUACAUUACAUUACAUAGUAACAUAUAUACACGCGUGUAUUACAAAUAAGCCUCUACAUCGACUUAGUAAUUAGUUGAUGGAGAGGUUGUCACAUGGGCCCAUGGAAGUGUCGUCCCCCCCUCCCUCUCACACAUCGCCAUUAUUGCAGUAGCAAUCCACUCCCGCUAAACGCCAUUGCGCUUAUAAGUCUAAAUAAUUAAUGUGGUUUUCGUUAGAACCCAAGGAGCAUACAAUAACAUUAGCUCAAGAUAAUAAUCGCCGAUAGUUGACAAAACAAGGAAUCAACGCUAGUUGACCAAAACAAUCAACGAUAACGCUGCUUCAUUCAUUACCCAGAGCAUUCGUUGAUAUUUACUCCCUCUGUUCCUUAUAGAUUCAAUUUUUAGAAAAAAGAUUUGUUUCAAAUAGAUACAUUUUUUACAUUUCCAAAAUAUUAAUUAAUGAAAAAUUGUACUUUUCAAAAAAUACAAUUGUGUUUAAUAAAAUUUCAUUAGUUAAAAGUUAUUGGGAAUAAUUAAUUAAAAAAAACAAUGUAUUGGAAAAUAUAAUUUUAAAUGUUUUCUUAAUAAGUGUGAAAAAACUACAAUAUGGAUCUUUUAGGAACGGAGAGAGUAUAAGUUAUAAAUUAUAACCGCAUAUAUGCGUUUAACUAAUCACGUGCCUGCUGCUUCAUACACACUUGUGCAUUUUGGUCUUCCUAGUCAUUAUUAUAAAUCUCAUCUCUUUCUUAAAUUCCUCAUUCGUUCUCUCUCUCUCUGGAAACACAAAUAAGCAAAUAUAUUUACAUAAAGAUUAGAGUCUAGAGAAAGGGUGUAUUGUGUAAUGGAGAUAAAAACGAAGAGGUACUGGCGGAGGUGGAGAGGAUACGAGAAGCUUGAUGGGUCAUCAACGCCGGGUCGAAGGAGUGGAAAACAGGUCAAAAUGG